rnacentral:lncRNA from 1 species
UAAAGGCUUUAUAAGUGUUUAUUAAAUAUCUAUGUUAAAUAUCAAUUAAUUGUCAAAUUAGUUAUCGGUAUUUUUUACAUUCACUACUGUAUUCAGUGUCAGUGUAUGUUCGCAAGCUGAUGGUUAUAUAAUUAAGAGUUCUGUACCAGACGACUACAAAUACGCACUACAAUGGCUAGCGGUGACUCAGAGGAUUCUGGAUUUGUGUCAGUUAGGGUUGCAGGAUCUCAGG